CCUACGGGUGGCAGCAGUGGGGAAUAUUGCACAAUGGGGGAAACCCUGAUGCAGCGACGCCGCGUGAGUGAAGAAGUAAUUCGUUAUGUAAAGCUCUAUCAGCAGGGAAGAAAAUGACGGUACCUGAGUAAGAAGCCCCGGCUAACUACGUGCCAGCAGCCGCGGUAAUAUGGAGGGGGCAAGCGUUAUCCGGAUUUACGGGGUGUAAAGGGAGCGUAGAGGGCAGUGCAAGUCUGGAGUGAAAGGCGGGGGCUCAACCCCCGGACUGCUCUGGAAACUGUACGGCGGGAGUGCAGGAGAGGUAAGUGGAAUUCCUAGUGUAGCGGUGAAAUGCGUAGAUAUUAGGAGGAACACCAGUGGCGAAGGCGGCUUACUGGACUGUAACUGACGUUGAGGCUCGAAAGCGUGGGGAGCGAACAGGAUUAGAUACCCGUGUAGUC
rnacentral:rRNA from 1 species